UGUAUAAUGGGUCAGCGACUUAUAUUCUGUAGCAAGGUUAACCGAAUAGGGGAGCCGAAGGGAAACCGAGUCUUAACUGGGCGUUAAGUUGCAGGGUAUAGACCCGAAACCCGGUGAUCUAGCCAUGGGCAGGUUGAAGGUUGGGUAACACUAACUGGAGGACCGAACCGACUAAUGUUGAAAAAUUAGCGGAUGACUUGUGGCUGGGGGUGAAAGGCCAAUCAAACCGGGAGAUAGCUGGUUCUCCCCGAAAGCUAUUUAGGUAGCGCCUCGUGAAUUCAUCUCCGGGGGUAGAGCACUGUUUCGGCAAGGGGGUCAUCCCGACUUACCAACCCGAUGCAAACUGCGAAUACCGGAGAAUGUUAUCACGGGAGACACACGGCGGGUGCUAACGUCCGUCGUGAAGAGGGAAACAACCCAGACCGCCAGCUAAGGUCCCAAAGUCAUGGUUAAGUGGGAAACGAUGUGGGAAGGCCCAGACAGCCAGGAUGUUGGCUUAGAAGCAGCCAUCAUUUAAAGAAAGCGUAAUAGCUCACUGGUCGAGUCGGCCUGCGCGGAAGAUGUAACGGGGCUAAACCAUGCACCGAAGCUGCGGCAGCGACGCUUAUGCGUUGUUGGGUAGGGGAGCGUUCUGUAAGCCUGCGAAGGUGUGCUGUGAGGCAUGCUGGAGGUAUCAGAAGUGCGAAUGCUGACAUAAGUAACGAUAAAGCGGGUGAAAAGCCCGCUCGCCGGAAGACCAAGGGUUCCUGUCCAACGUUAAUCGGGGCAGGGUGAGUCGACCCCUAAGGCGAGGCCGAAAGGCGUAGUCGAUGGGAAAC
rnacentral:rRNA from 1 species